UGGGGAAUCUUGCACAAUGGGCGAAAGCCUGAUGCAGCGACGCCGCGUGGGGGAUGAAGCAUUUCGGUGUGUAAACCCCUUUCGACUGGGAAGAAUACCUCGCAAGAGGGGUGACGGUACCAGUAGAAGAAGCCCCGGCUAACUACGUGCCAGCAGCCGCGGUAAGACGUAGGGGGCCAGCGUUGUUCGGAAUUACUGGGUGUAAAGGGUUCGUAGGCGGUGCGGCAAGUUGGGAGUGAAAUCUCUGGGCUUAACCCAGAGGCUGCUUCCAAAACUGCUGUGCUCGAGUGUGAGAGAGGCUCGUGGAAUUGCAGGUGUAGCGGUGAAAUGCGUAGAUAUCUGCAGGAACACCCGUGGCGAAAGCGGCGAGCUGGAUCACUACUGACGCUGAGGAACGAAAGCUAGGGGAGCAAACAGGAUUAGAUACCCCCGUAGUCC
rnacentral:rRNA from 1 species